CUGAGUCAGACUUGGACGUGGAGGCAACACUGACUGGACAGAAGUCUGGGACACCCAAGCCCAGCUUGCCCACCGUACAGAUGGAAAACCUGAAGCCAGGGAAGGCGGGGACAUCCCCGAGCUCACAGGACAGUCCUUGUAGUGGCUGACGAGAAAACAGACGCUUGGAGAGAAGUAACCUGUCCAAGUCACACAGCUAGAAAAUGUCAAAGCCAGGAUUCAGAACCAGUUACAGUCUGAAAGAGCUUCACUCUCCUAGCGGCUGCAGACCUGGAAUGUCCCAGUGCUGUGGGAAGCCGGCUCAGCGCCUGAGAGUCUCCAUGCUGCACGACCUGGGAAGUGAGCGCCCUUUGAAGGGAAUCACAGCCGAAUCAGUUUUCCCUGUUUGUAAAAUGGGGUGCAGAGCUGAAGAGGGUUGGCUAUCAUCACACUCCCUGCAGAGCAGUGGGCAGCUGACUGGGAAGCCCCGACACAGGUAAGAGCGUCCUGGAGUCACACCUGCUGCUACUGGCUCUGCCAUGCCCCGCUGUGGGACCCUGGGAGAAAACUUGCUCCUUCUGGCCUCAGUCCUGCUUUGUAAAAUGGUUGUUGGGGGAGGCGAGAGGGAACUGCAUAGAAAAGUCUUCCUGGAAGUUCCUUGGCCAUCAUCUUCCCAUGCACCCUGCAUAUGCAGAAAGACAUGAGACACACUCGCUCAGGUCCAUGCCAGGGAGGGGUCAGUCCAGAGCACUGUGUGCCUGUGUGUGUGCAUGCAUGCGUGCACGUGUGAAACAAGUGAACGGACAGGCAAGCGUGUCCUACCACAUGUGUCCAUCCCUCAGGCACCCAGACCAUGGCCCAGGCAGGGCAGAGCCCAGGGCAAAGAGUUUCCAAGACUUCUCUCCCCAGUGCUCAGGGACCCUCUGGACAUUAGUGGCUGAUUUGAGAAGGUCAGGCAAAAAACUCAAGGCCUAAAGGAGUGAAAUAGAAGAUCCAGGACCUGGGUGGCUUGAUAAGGAGACAUGAGCACCAAGCUUGUGGUCAGACGAAGUGGAUUCAAGAGCUAGACAGUUUAGAGAGAUGUUGACAAUAACGCCAGAAACCCAGGCUGAGAACAAUAACCUUGGUGGGCACAGAUGCUCCCUCUUAGCUGUGGGCAUAGGGGCAGUGAAGGCCCCAUUAUCAGGCUGAGGAGACCAACCAGCUUGUGUGCAGAUGCUCUCCGUUCCUGGGCCGGAUCCCGGGAGACCCUGGCAUACAGGGCUUUCUUUCAGGCAGUAACCAACACUGGGGGCUCAGGCCACAGGCACGCCUCACUCAGCCCUUCCCCGCCCUUGCUGCCUCAGGGGCUAGGAGGACAGAAAGCUCCUUGCGGGCAGGCACUUCCCCAGGAAAGGCAGACCGGUGGAGUCUGGAUGCAGAGCUUUCUGCCAACAGAACUUCCCACGGGCAGCCUGAAAUGAGCAGCAAUUACACGUGGCCUCUAGGGCCACAUUUGAUAAGAAGAGCUGCAAUUUACUGUGUCCCUACUAUGUACGAAGCACGUUAAAUUUGUUAUUUACUUAGCAACUAUUCUCUGAGUGCCUUGAAGUGCCAGGUCCUGGCUGGGGACCAGGGAUACAUGGCCCCUGCCCCUAUGGAACUCACAGUCUAAUGAGGAGGCCAACCCUAAAUAGAGCCUCACACAAGAACCAGUAACCAGGGAGGGCUUCCUGGAGGAGGUGACAUUGAGCCCAGGCCUUCUGAAGGAUGAAUAGGAGCUAGCCAGGGAAAGAGGAAAGGAGAAACACUUCAGGCAGAGAGAACCUGAGGCAGGAGAGAUAGGAUACAACGGUACCUAUAGUUUCCACAAUAAUCUUAUGAGAUGGCAAUGCUGUCCCAUUUUAUAAUUGAGGAAACUGCAACUCCGAGAGGCUGAGUCACCACAGACCUCACACAUCCAGCUGGGGUGCAUGACCCAAAUCCUACACCAUACGCAGACACUUCCAAUCCCCUGAGCCUGGCCCCUGAGCCCUGGAGAUGAGACGUGAAGGCUGCGGAGGGAGAGGCCAGGUCUGCUCAUGCCUGCAGCCUCAUGUGCUGGGGUGAGAGAAGACUCUGCUUGCAGAGGGAACACCCAGAUGUGCUCUCUUGCAGAGCAGCGUGGAGAACCCCGCAACAGGGCCAGGUAUCUCCCCAAACAGCUUGGGAGCUGCUCACAAGGUCCAGUGAGGCAUUGUCCCAGAGCCACAGGCCCACCACUGCCUCUACAGCCUGCAUAAAGUGUGGUGGCCUCAGCUUCUCACAGACACUGUUAUGAGGACCACAGAUCCUGUGAAGAGAGCAGCAGGGAAAGCCUAUGGCGUGCUGAGAGCAGAGGCCUUCUCUAGGUAAGGCUUCCUGGAAGAGGUGGCCCUGGAGUUGAGCCUUAAGAACCAAGAGGAUUUCAAAAGGGGCAACAUGGAGCCAAGGAGGGAAGCACAGGCAUGGGGAAUGGGAAGCUUAGGAUUGUGGCGGGAGUGCCGGCAGCCUUUCGGGAACCAUGAGCAGUGUCCAGCCUGGAGCGUCCGCUACUCUCAGGGGCCACCAGAGCUCCUGCUCCAGAACUUCCCAAGGCCCCAGACUCAGCAGAGCCCAAGGGUGCAGUAAGAAGACGUGGCCUUCCUUCCAGCUGAUGUAACUCCACUCUGUGCAGGGCAUGGUGCCAGGCUCUGGGAUAUGGCUGUGGACCUCUCAGCCUCAGGCCCUGCCCUCAUGAAGCACAUGGUGUAGCACAGAUGACAGGUGUUAAGCAGCCAUGGAAGCACGGCAAGCUUCCAAAAGGAGAAGUGCCAUUCCCUCCAUCAGCCAGUCAUUCCAUCAUUCAAGGGCUAGGCACCAGCAACGGAAUGAACUAGCAGACAAUGGGGUGGGGGCCACCCUCACAGAGCUUAGAGUCUGCAGAGCUGUACCCAUGCUCUGCCGCAUCCCAGAGCCCCUGGGGCAAGAGAAGAAGGAAGGCCAGCCUAGAGCUGUGGCAGCUUCAAAAGACAGCAGCAUCUCUGGGCAUUCUCCCAAGGACCACAGCUCUGUCAAAGAUGUUGGUGCGCCCCCAGAACACAGAUAGACACAUUUAAUUUCCCUAAAAGCUUCUUUUGCUUACAAAGGGACCCUCUUAAGUGCCCUGGGCUGCCUCUGCUUCUACCUUGGAGGUGAAGGAGUUGUUCCAGCCCUUUUGGGAGGAUGACACUUCAGCCUGGGGGUGGCAGGAGAUCAGAUCUCAGCUGGCUCUUCUCCCUCAUGUCCUCACUCUCAGGAGAGCCAAAGAAGCCUUUGUCGGCCCUCAGUGAUCCCCAGCAGGACCCACCACCCCCUCUUUAUUCCUCAAACCCAGGAUAUCUGGGUCCUCCCUCUGCCCCAUUGUUCACAUCCUGUGCUCCCUUCUUCGGAUGAAUAUUUGGCAGGACUCUGAGCUGAUUUGAGUCUGACUCCAGCCCUGCCCACUGCCUAUCAACUUAGCAUAGCUCUCUUUUCAUUGGCUAACAGACCAGUCCCGCCCCUACCUCCGUGCCCAGCUCAGCUGCCUAAAAUCCCAUCUUCAAUCCAUGUCCCAGGUGUCUUCUUAUUCAGGAAGCCACAUGUGACACAGUAUUAGACCUGUUCCUAAAACAGGAGUGGCUAAUAAAUGUCAUCCCACAAGUCAACUCCAAAACAUUGGCACCAGCUUCCUGGAGGGCUGUGUGAAGGACCCUGAUGCUAUGUGUGGGUUCAAUAGGAAAGCGUGUCACGAUUGAUUAGUGAUGUUGGCCAUGAGCACAAUAUAGGAAGAAGGUGCCACUGAUUUGCCAUAGCAGGCAAGAUUCUUUAGCCAUUUUCGGAGGUGUGAAUAUGGGAAGCAUCAGUUCCCAGCCUCAUGCCCUGGCAUGUGUAAAACUCCUGCUCUGUGCUCAGCCAAGAGGAAGGAAAAGUUCUGCCCUCUGAUGCAAGUUGUUGCCAGAGCGACUGAGAAGUGGAGGACAUUGAAAGCACUGGAUUGAGAGCUCCAGAAACACUCAAAGUGGACCCAAAGUUUCUGAGUCCAGAGAGACAAAGUAACUCGCCAAGGAAUGGCACAGCCUCCGGAGCACACCCUCGGAGCUUCACAAAAUCACUAAGUGAUAGCACGAGGCACUGCAUGGCUAGGCCCCCAGAGAGUGAGGCAACAUUCGGAGCUGCAGGUCAAAGACAGAGAGCACAACUGCCAGAAGGUCAGGAAUGUUCCCUGGAUCCGGUGAGGGGGCUUGGCUUUGAAGGGGGUUAAAGUGAUAGAAGUAGGGGAGGCCUGGGCUGCAGGUGACACUGGGGCCAGGACUAGAGCCCUGUCUCCAUCUUGCAGUCUGGGCUCCCUCCUCCGGGGCAGAGUUAGGCUGACUUGAUCCAGGAUCCCCUCUGCCCGCCCUCCCCUCCCCCCCAGAUAGAACCUGAGAGGCUCCUCUGACCACUCAGACUAAAGGAGACCCCCACGGACCCCUUAUUCUCCAUCCAGCACUCUGACUGUUAGCACCAUUUGUAAUUCCUUCUUUCACGCUUCUGUUCAAUUUGUUUUGUCUGUCUGUCCCAAUGGUCUGUGAGCGUCAUGGGGGUAAGGACAAUGUCUGUCUUACUCACUCUGUCUCCACAGCCAAACACAGUGCAGCAAUAGAACCGGUUCAAAUCAGGGUUGUUGAAUCAAUGAAUAAACCAUGGUCGGCUGGGACCACACACUCGAACACCCGCAGGGCCUAGCAGAUAGUGCAAAUGAGCGAGCAGGACAGGGGUGAGAUCCAGGCAGGCAGCACCCACCUGGCACCUUCUCCCUGUGACGCUCACUAGGGGUAGGCCUCACUGCCACACCAGAAGUGGUAUUACUCUGACACAGAUGCAAACUGUUCACAUGUCAACACAAGAGAAUACCCUUCAUGUCCGCAAAGAAAUACACACUUCUCCAUUUUGCUGGAAAAAAUUAUAGUCUUUUUUAAUUUUCCUACUUUUGGUAGAGUUGUGAGUACAGAGAAAUGUUUCCCUACUCCAUGGAAAAAGAACAUGCCAAGUGUGAUGAUCUAUUGUAACUGACAGUCAAGCUCAACAUCAGGUGGGGCAGGAGUACCGGAGAUAGGCCCCUGGGCCAGCAGCGGCAGCAGCAGCUGGGAACUCGUUAGAGAUACAAAUUCUCAGGCUCACCCCUGCCUCACUGAGACAGAAAUUCUGGGAUGGGUCCGGCAAUCUGCGUUUUAACAAGCAGGCGAUUCUCCUGCACACUCAAGUUUGAGAACUAAUGCAAUAAGGAGUGGUGGGGACUGUGGUAAACUGGAGAGCACAUAUCCUGCUCGAAGAGGCCCCCACUUCUCAGCUCCAGCCCACAGUUGCCACAUAGAAAUGUGAGCCCCAUGUGGCCAAAUCUCUCAAUUAUUCAAGGAAGUUGAAAAUCCACAUUUUCAUGUGAAAUAUCUUCAUUUCUAAGCAUUGGCUGUUUUUUUAAUCUCACAUAGACCAAACAACUUGUCUACAGGUCAAGGCCAGCCCAGGCACAGCCAGAGUAUGACCUGAGAAGUGGAGACUUCUCCCAUAGGGAAAGCCCCAGAAAGAUACUGAGGGGCCCAGCUGUCCUGCCUAGAUGGGCCUGGCUCUGAAGUCCAGGCCCAGACACCAUGCUUCCCUGGGACUUAGAGACCUCCAACUACUUUGUGGGACUGCUUCUGGGUCCUCAAAUUCCAGACAAGUUCCACAGGGCCCAACACUUCUCUGGGUCAGAGGAUGAACAAGCUUGGGUAGGUAAAAUUCUGGCCUUGAUGCACUAGGUCCAGGCAGGGCUGGGGGUGGACUCUUAUUUCCUGAGGCCCGAUUCCAUGCCAAGCCCAGUGCUCAGGGAUUACAGACAUUUUCUCCUUAAUAUUUGCAACCAAUCCAUGAGGUAGGGGUAAACAUGCACAUCUUACAGAAGAGGAAAGAGAGGUUCAGAGAGGUUAAGAAACUUGCCUUAGGUCAUACAGAAAGUGAAGAAAGCCAGGCUAUGAGCUCACAUUUACCUGCCUCCCAACCUAUGUUAUGCAGUCUUGCAAACUGCCUGCCAGCUGAAGGAUGCAAAGGAGGCUGGGAAAUGACCAGAGCCAGUCUGCUGCCCCCAGCGCCUGACUCCCCUGUCAAAGCCACAACCAAUGCCACAAUUCCAGUGCCAGAAAACCCAAUCCAGCAGUAGGUACUGGCAGUGAGGCUGCAGGAGAGGGUGAUAAGGGGGAGAAGGAAGGGCAGCAAACCUGCAUCCUGCUUCAGCUUCAGGGGGAUCUGUCCCUGCACCCAAAUCUCUAUCUCAGAGCUGGCAAACUGUAGGAGCUGGGGCAGGGCCAGAGCCAACAGGGGGCCUGGGCUGCAGCUCGAGUCACAGCCUUGCCUCCAUGUCACCAACCUUCCUCCAGAAGGCGUAGCUGUUAGCAGUGGCCCUGGGGUAGAGCUCUGCAAGGGUGUGUGGUUGCCAGGGAAGCCGAAGAAAUGCUUGACUCCCGCCCCUGCUCUGACCCCUGGGGCAGGCCCCUCUCUGUGCCAGAAUCCCCUAGAAUGUCCGGACUAGCCCAGACCCUCCCCCCAAGCUCAAGAGCUCACGACGAGGGCUUCCACAGGCCAGGCCCAGAGUGCCCUCCCACAGUUGGGGCUCACUCAGCCUGGGCCCUGGUCAGACCCAGCUCCGCCCCACUCUCGCCAGGCAUGAGUCAGCACUGGAGUCUGCGUGUGGCCACAGCUGGCUGGACGCUGAGGCCAGCAGGCCAGGCCCUGGAGGUCUGCUGGGGCCCUGAGGCCUCACUAAUGGGGAGAGAUGGCCCCGAAUGACCCACAGGAUCACACGAGGGAAAGGAAAAAGGACCAAGCAGAGAACUAAGCAUAAAGUAAGACUCUCAAACCUUAAAGUGAUAGAAGCAAAUUCAGUCAGAAAAAUGGUCACACACACAGAGGCCACCGGCCCUGACACAGACACACACUCUUGUGUAUCCCACAGUCCAGACAUGCACCACGUGCACACACAUCCCAUGUGUCCACGUCCUCUCAGUGUCCCUGCGUCCGCAGCACACAGCAGACACACAGAUGCGGGAGAAAACACAUAGACAAACCUCAGCACCCACACACACACAAGCACUUCCCAGAGGGUGAGCCCAGACAGAGAAGUCAACCGCACAGAGCAGACGCUCACCAGCAUCGCCUGUCUGUGGUGUACAGCUCUUGUCAAAGCCGAGGCAAUCAGACUCACCCUCAGCAUACAUGUACAGACAGGUUUGGGGACAUCAGGUCACACACGCAUUCUAACAGCCAUGAUGCUGUGAGGACUGUGGUCAAGGACAGCCUGGUAACCCGGGUCCUGCACACCCCACCCCAGCCAAGCCCAGCCCACCCGCGGGCGCCCAGACUGGCCGCCUGCCCACCCCAGCCAGGCUGGCUUCUGUGCCCCGACAGGAGGUCGCAGAGCUGAGCACGGCCAGGAAGUCAGUCGGAGUGACAGCUCCCCCAC
ensembl:lncRNA